rnacentral:rRNA from 1 species
AGGAUAAACGCUGGCGGCGUGCCUAACACAUGCAAGUCGAACGCCCUUUUUCCUCGCAAGAGGGGGGAGGGAGUGGCGGACGGGUGAGGAACACAUGGGUGACCUACCUUUCAGUGAGGAAUACCGGCGAGAAAUCGCCGACAAGACCGCAUGAGCUUCCCUCGGUGAGCGAGGGAAGGAAAGCUCUUUUUCGUGCGAACGGAGGGGGGCGCUGGAAGAUGGGCCUGUGGCCGAUUAGCUAGUUGGUGAGGUAACGGCUCACCAAGGCGACGAUCGGUAGCUGGUCUGAGAGGACGAUCAGCCACACUGGGAUUGAGAACGGCCCAGACUCCUACGGGGGGCAGCAGUGAGGAAUUUUCCGCAAUGGGCGCAAGCCUGACGGAGCAACGCCGCGUGCAGGAAGACGGUUUUCGGAUCGUAAACUGCUUUUCGUCGGGGACGAGAACGGACGGUACCCGAGGAAUCAGCCCCGGCUAACUACGUGCCAGCAGCCGCGGU